rnacentral:rRNA from 1 species
AGAGAGAGACAUGCGCGCAUAUCAAUAAGCGGAGGAAAAGAAACUAACAAGGAUUCCCUUAGUAACGGCGAGUGAAGCGGGAAGAGCUCAAAUUUGAAAUCUUAAAGGGUUUCCCUUUACGAAUUGUAGUUUAAAGAAGUGUUUUCUGUUGAGGUUUUGGUAAAAGUUCUUUGGAAUAGGACAUCAUAGAGGGUGAGAAUCCCGUAUUUGACCUUUACUUUCAACUUUGUGAUACACUUUCAAAGAGUCGGAUUGUUUGGGAAUGCAGUCCAAAAUGGGUGGUAAAUUUCAUCUAAAGCUAAAUAUUGGCGAGAGACCGAUAGCGAACAGGUACCGUGAGGGAAAGAUGAAAAGAACUUUGAAAAGAGAGUUAAACAGUACGUGAAAUUGUCAAAAGGGAAGCGUUUGACACCAGUGUUGUUUUUCUGAAAAUCAAUUAAAGAACUGUUUAUGCUAAGUUGUUUAGACUUUAUCAGCUAACUGUUUAGUUUUGAGCUUUUCUUUAAUGCACUUUUCAGUUAACAAGUCAACAGUCAAUUUCUUUUGCUGUAAAAAAGCUUGAGGAAGGUGGCUUGAGAUUCGUCUUAAGUGUUUAUAGCCUCUUGCCUAUGCAGUCGGAGAGAUUGAGGUCUGCAGCGUAGAUCCUUCGGGGCUAAAUGCAUUUGUGCUAAGUUAUAGCAUUUUAUAGACAACUUGUUGACUAUGAUUUGUCUUGUAGCUUACUCGCUUAUGUUAUUUUACCUACGCUUAGGAUGUUGAGCGCAUGUCUCUCUCU